UGAGGAAGUGAUUUGAGGGCAUAUUUACUUUACUGCCAUUUAUUAUAAUGUUAUAAUGACAAAUUUUCAUGGGGAUAUUUGUAUACCUGAAAUAUCGUAAUCAUGUAGAUUUGAAGCACAAGCUAUUCCUUUGUUCUGAUUGAGAAGAAAUACAUGUACAUUUUUCUCUGGUGAAGAAGGUACAUGAAACUGAAUUGUUGUAUGAUUAUUUUGAUUUGGAAACAUCGUAAUCAAACUUGGAUUAGUCUGACAUCCAAUUAUAAACUAUAGGAAAGGCGUGAAAACUACAACAGUGAUUUGUUGAAAAGAUAUCUGAGAACUAUUUUCAAAUGUAGACAUGUCAUGUUUUUGUCAAUUUUAUCGAAGAUGUUAUUCUUAUGCUAAUUACAAUGUAAUUGUCAUGACGUUAUAAUCAUGAGGAAGCAAUAUUGUUAUUCAAUAUUCUCAUCACUUGUGUAAUGGAUUCGUAAUUGUGUUUUUCUGUUAUUUGUUAUUGUACUGGUUACAUGUAUAGAGAUUACCCAGCAUUCCACAUUCCAAAGAUAAUACCGAGUCAUUUUUCAUGGAUUUAAUGCAAGCAACAAAUUCAAAACAGACAAAUAAGAAAGAAAAAAGAUGCAUUUAAAGCUCACAUUUUGGCUUAAAUUUUCAAACAAAUUUUUGUCGAAGAUUUCUCAGCAACCAUUCAUUGCAGAUGUUUGAAAUUUUAACACACUCUCUGUUUAGGCAUGGUAUUUGAUGGGAUCUAUUUAUACACCAACUGGAAUUCGGUUUUCUGUUAAAUGUCUACUUUGCUUAUUUUGUAAAUCCAAAUUGGAGCGGGGGUAUUACUAGUGAGCAUUGGCUCACAGAUAUCUUGUUGUUAUUGGUUUUGUUCUGCUAAGGUGUUUUAAUCAUGAAGUAAUAUAUAUGGCGUUGUGUUUUAUCAGGCUCUGUGUUUAGGAGAGGCACAAUGAGGCACAAGGAUCCAUCAGAGGUCUUUCUAUAUUCUCUCACACUAACCGCCUGAGCUCUACGAUACUAAUUGAUAUAUGAAUAAACAGGGUGAUUACAGCCUUAAAUUCAAUAUCCCAUCGAUGGGUAACUUUGAAAAAAGAAUUCAGUUUGUUGUAAAGAAUUUAGAGACUGGUGCUUUUUUUAGUUCUGUUUUUUAAAACAAUGUGAUUAUUUCAUGAGAAUUUCAAUAAAUAUGUUUAUUUUUGCUUU
rnacentral:misc_RNA from 1 species